UAGGGAAUCUUCCACAAUGGACGCAGUCUGAUGGAGCAACGCCGCGUGAGUGAAGAAGGGUUUCGGCUCGUAAAGCUCUGUUGUUAAAGAAGAACGUGGGUAAGAGUAACUGUUUACCCAGUGACGGUAUUUAACCAGAAAGCCACGGCUAACUACGUGCUAG
rnacentral:rRNA from 1 species